rnacentral:rRNA from 1 species
GACGAACGCUGGCGGCGUGCUUAACACAUGCAAGUCGAACGGUAAGGCCCUUCGGGGUACACGAGUGGCGAACGGGUGAGUAACACGUGGGUGAUCUGCCCUGCACUUCGGGAUAAGCCUGGGAAACUGGGUCUAAUACCGGAUAGGACCACUGCCUGCAUGGGUGGUGGUGGAAAGCUUUUGCGGUGUGGGAUGGGCCCGCGGCCUGUCAGCUUGUUGGUGGGGUGAUGGCCUACCAAGGCGACGACGGGUAGCCGGCCUGAGAGGGUGACCGGCCACACUGGGACUGAGAGACGGCCCAGACUCCUACGGGAGGCAGCAGUGGGGAAUAUUGCACAAUGGGCGCAAGCCUGAUGCAGCGACGCCGCGUGAGGGAUGACGGCCUUCGGGUUGUAAACCUCUUUCAGCACCGACGAAGCGCAAGUGACGGUAGGUGCAGAAGAAGGACCGGCCAACUACGUGCCAGCCGCCGCGGUAACAC